GACAAAGGUUGUGGAGAAUGCAGCAGCCACUUUGGGCACAAACAGAGGACACACUUCCAGAAAGAUGGAUCUCCAGCGGGUUUUCAGCUUGAAACAUGUGGGCUCGACUACGUGCCUUGGCGUGGUGGCCGUUGAACCGGGCCUCAACACAUCCUGCUGCUGCUGACUAGUCUGCCGAUGGUGGAGGGGCAGCCCAAGGGGGGCGAGACUCAGAAGGGAAUGGGAGGAACGAUCGGAUUGGGGCAACAGAACACACAAUUGUCAAC
ensembl:lncRNA